rnacentral:rRNA from 1 species
CGCGCAGCCUGAUGCAGCCAUGCCGCGUGUGUGAAGAAGGCCUUCGGGUUGUAAAGCACUUUCAGCGGGGAGGAAGGCGAUGAGGUUAAUAACCGUGUUGAUUGACGUUACCCGCAGAAGAAGCACCGGCUAACUCCGUGCCAGCAGCCGCGGUAAUCA